rnacentral:rRNA from 1 species
AUUGAACGCUGGCGGCAGGCCUAACACAUGCAAGUCGAACGAGUGGCGGACGGGUGAGUAAUGUAUGGGAAACUGCCUGACGGAGGGGGAUAACUACUGGAACCGGUAGCUAAUACCGCAUACCAUCAGAUGUGCCCAGAGGGGAUUAGCUAGUUGGUGGGGUAACGGCUCACCAAGGCGACGAUCCCUAGCUGGUCUGAGAGGAUGACCAGCCACACUGGGACUGAGACACGGCCCAGACUCCUACGGGAGGCAGCAGUGGGGAAUAUUGCACAAUGGGCGCAAGUCUGAUGCAGCCAUGCCGCGUGUAUGAAGAAGGCCUUCGGGUUGUAAAGUUCUUUCAGCGGGGAGGCGUUACCCACCGAAGAAGCACCGGCUAACUCCGUGCCAGCAGCCGCGGUAAUUC